AUAUAUAUAUAUAUGAUUACUGUGAUCCAUUUAUGUUGCACGGAAUCAAUUUAAGCUAUCAGUCUAAAAUCGAAUGGGAGUUGACUUCAUGAUUUCGAUUAGUAUGUUAAGACUCCCCAAGUAUAUUGAGCUUUUAUUUUAGUAGGAAAAAAACAAAAAAUUGGAAAGAUUUGUAUCAAAAUGGUGCUUAUAUUUUCUUCUAAAAAUCUUCGACUUUGACUCCCCAACUCAGCACACUCACCUCACCUUGAACUCAUCCACCUCAACAUUUUCGGAGAUCGUGAUGUGUUUCUUAAAGGCAAACCAAACCAAAUCGAUUUCUAGACUCUACUCAUUUCUUGAAUAGAUGAUAUCAUUUGUCCUUAUUGAACAGAUAAGACUCCUAAUCUGUAUAAAUAGGAGAAUGACAUGUUAAUGCAUUUAAGCUUCUUCACUUCUUCAAUAAAGCUUAUUCAAUAAUUCUUCUUUAUCUUUUAUUCUUUUCAACACUUAUCACUAUAAAAUAAAAAAAAUUACAAAAGAUAAAUUAAGAAAACCAGAUUUGAGACAAAAAUCUUUAAAACAUAAGAUAGUUAAUAUCGAAAAGAUUGCAUGAUAUGAAUCUAUCAAACAAGUGAAGCCAUGAGAUGUGCCUUUGAGAUUGCUGCUAUAUAUCUAAUUGAAUUGCUAACAUAUAUAUAUAUAUAUAUGAGCAGGAACUGAGCUGUAGAUAAUGCACAAAGUUAACUAUAGAAAUGCAGGCACUUACGAUUUUGAUUUUAAGAAAAUAAAUCAGUUAUCUAAUAAUAAAUAAAAUACACUCCCUGAUUAUAAGCACAGAAUCAGAUUUGAAAGAAACACAAUUCAAAACUCAAAUUGAAAGACAAAAAGUAAUCCACAAGCUAUGUAUAUGUAUGAUGGAAGACAAACUCAACUUACAUAAGAAAAACUAACAAAUAAUCCACAAGCUAUGUAUAUGUAUGAUGGAAGACAAACUCAACAUACAUGAGAAGAAACUAACAAGUAAUCCACAAGGUAUAUAUAUAUGUUUGAUGGAAGACAAACUCAACAUACAAAGGAAGAAACUGCCACUUAAUCCACAAGGUCUUGAAAGAUGACAAAGCCUCUUGCCCAUGUUACAACUAUACAUUGGUUCAGUGCUUACAGAAGCUGUGUCUGACAACAAAAUCUACCAAGAAACAAAACUAACAUGAGUGACUACAUGUCAUGACCCGAGUUUGAUGGGCUAAUUAGCCUAU
rnacentral:lncRNA from 1 species